rnacentral:lncRNA from 1 species
CUGAAUGGAGCAGGGCUAUGUGCGGACGGGCUUGCACGGAUUAGCUUGCUUUCCCAUGAACUACAAAAGAAUGCUCGAAUCUGGGGCAUUUGUCAUCAAGGGGCAGGCUGCGCAGGAUGCAAGGGCACCCCAGAGUCUGGGAUUCUGAGCUGUGGUUAUAGCUAUUCGGGAGCAAGGCUGAGUCUUCUACUGAUAGGAAAAGAGGAAGAAGAGACUGCACCACUAUCUUGCAAGCUGCCGGCUGGUUCUUCUUCAUUGUCAAUGUCACUGGAUCUGAAGUCGUCUAGGAGACACACCUCUGGAUGUUUCCUUGGGAAAGUUUCCAGGGAGGUUUAACUGAGACAAGAAGAGCCACCCUGAAUGUGGGAGACGAAAUAAAAAGGGGAGUGGUGGGAGUCA